rnacentral:tRNA from 1 species
GCGAGCGUGGCGAAACUGGUAGACGCGCAGUCUUGAGGUGGCUGUGCCGUAAGGCUUGGAGGUUCAAGUCCUCUCGCUCGCA